rnacentral:lncRNA from 1 species
UUACUGCUACAUUAUGGUUGAAAUGUCAAUAUAUUUAAACUCACUGUUUAGAUUCUGCAAUCACAAGUAUCACUGUAGUCUGGUCUUAGACAGAUUAUUGUUUGAGUUAAGUUCACUGAACAACUUUUGCAAUACCCCAUUCUGCCCAACACCAACCCCCAAGCUUGGUUCGAUAUAAAAUUAGAACUGUUCAUUGCUUGUUUAAUGCUCCAACAUUGAUAACACUCCCUUCAUGCUUGCUGACCCACACCUUGCUCGGUUUUUUUCGCAGUCCCGAUGAGGCCAUGAUGCUUACCUUGUUGGAGCGCAUCAACCCUGACCAUGGCACCACAUUCAGAGUCUUGAGGUAGCCAUGCUACAACUGCAUCAAUGCUAUAUUCUCCGACUAGAUAAGUCUUAUGGUCUAUCCCAUUAUUUUCUUUUGUUACUUGGUCGACGAGCCAUGAUGCAAUGACAUAUAUUAUUGUGUUCAUUCCCUAGAUGUGAUGCAGAAGCUAUGGUGUUUUGUUUUGAGUCUGUUGUAAAUUGUAAUUGAUAAUGAUUUGUGUAAAAUUAGUGUAUAACAUAUGUCUUGUUAUCUUAAAUCGUUCGUGUCGUGCUUAAUGAACCAUCUAAGAUUGAAUCAUUUUCUGCGUUCAACAUCUAGAACCAUUCUGGGAGUUUUGUUUUCAUGCAACAACUGUGCAUUCUUGUCUUCUGUGUUGUUUCUGUGAGCUAGUCCUUGUGGUUAUUACUGUUACAUGUUACAUGUUACAUGUAGAGUUGCUUCAUGAUUUAGUCCCUAGCUGCUUUCUAUAUUUGUUUUUAUUUUGUUUCUAACUCCUUUGGUUUGUUGUUAGAUGCCUUCGUUCAGCCUGUACGAACAUAUCCAGAAAUGGUGUUUUCUCUCAUUGAAGGAGCUCCGGCCUGGAAGUGAAGAAGUGUGGAGUAUAUUUGCAGUAUUAGUUAUAUGUUGUGAUAGUAUCACAUGUAAUGGUGAAAUGAAUUAUGUAAAGAUUGUGCUAUUAGCCAAAAUCGGCAUGUCGUUUGAUAAUUUUCAUUUGUUUGCUGUUCUGACUGAAAUAAUUGUGUGGAAAUUGAAACCUUG